CAGUUUCGUACCACGUAAAUAACGUGGCACUCUUCAGAUAAAAUCAUUAAUAAAAAUCAUAAAUUUUAUCUGAAGAGUGCCACGUUAUUUACGUGGUACGAAAAUG